GACGAACGCUGGCGGCGUGCCUAAUACAUGCAAGUAGAACGCUGAAGAGAGGAGCUUGCUCUUCUUGGAUGAGUUGCGAACGGGUGAGUAACGCGUAGGUAACCUGCCUUGUAGCGGGGGAUAACUAUUGGAAACGAUAGCUAAUACCGCAUAACAAUGGAUGACACAUGUCAUUUAUUUGAAAGGGGCAAUUGCUCCACUACAAGAUGGACCUGCGUUGUAUUAGCUAGUAGGUGAGGUAAUGGCUCACCUAGGCGACGAUACAUAGCCGACCUGAGAGGGUGAUCGGCCACACUGGGACUGAGACCCGGCCCAGACCUCUACGGGAGGCAGCAGUAGGGAAUCUUCGGAAAUGGGGGCAACCCUGACCGAGCAACGCCGCGUGAGUGAAGAAGGUUUUCGGAUCGUAAAGCUCUGUUGUAAGUCAAGAACGGGUGUGAGAGUGGAAAGUUCACACUGUGACGGUAGCUUACCAGAAAGGGACGGCUAACUACGUG
rnacentral:rRNA from 1 species